rnacentral:rRNA from 1 species
GAUGAACGCUGGCGGCGUGCCUAAUACAUGCAAGUCGAGCGAACGGACGAGAAGCUUGCUUCUCUGAUGUUAGCGGCGGACGGGUGAGUAACACGUGGAUAACCUACCUAUAAGACUGGGAUAACUUCGGGAAACCGGAGCUAAUACCGGAUAAUAUUUUGAACCGCAUGGUUCAAAAGUGAAAGACGGUCUUGCUGUCACUUAUAGAUGGAUCCGCGCUGCAUUAGCUAGUUGGUAAGGUAACGGCUUACCAAGGCAACGAUGCAUAGCCGACCUGAGAGGGUGAUCGGCCACACUGGAACUGAGACACGGUCCAGACUCCUACGGGAGGCAGCAGCAGGGAAUCUUCCGCAAUGGGCGAAAGCCUGACGGAGCAACGCCGCGUGAGUGAUGAAGGUCUUCGGAUCGUAAAACUCUGUUAUUAGGGAAGAACAUAUGUGUAAGUAACUGUGCACACCUUGACGGUACCUAAUCAGAAAGCCACGGCUAACUACGUG